GACAGAGGGUGCAAACGUUGUUCGGAAUUACUGGGCGUAAAGCGCGUGUAGGCGGCCAUCUAAGUCGGGCGUGAAAUCCCACGGCUCAACCCGUGGAAGUGCACUCGAAACUGGAUGGCUAGAGUCCUGGAGAGGAAGGUGGAAUGCUUGGUGUAGAGGUGAAAUUCGUAGAUAUCAAGCGGGACACCGGUGGCGAAGGCGGCCUCUGGACAGUGACUGACGCUGAGACGCGAAAGCGUGGGAGCAACAGG
rnacentral:rRNA from 1 species